rnacentral:rRNA from 1 species
UACAGAGGGUGCAAGCGUUGUUCGGAAUCAUUGGGCGUAAAGCGCACGUAGGCGGCCUGCUAAGUCGGAUGUGAAAGCCCAGGGCUCAACCCUGGAAGUGCAUUCGAAACUGGUGAGCUUGAGUGUCGGAGAGGGUGGUGGAAUUCCGAGUGUAGAGGUGAAAUUCGUAGAUAUUCGGAGGAACACCAGUGGCGAAGGCGACCACCUGGACGAACACUGACGCUGAGGUGCGAAAGCGUGGGGAGCAAACAGG